rnacentral:rRNA from 1 species
GACGAACGCUGGCGGCGUGCUUAACACAUGCAAGUCGAACGGAAAGGCCUCAGCUUGCUGGGGUACUCGAGUGGCGAACGGGUGAGUAACACGUGGGUGAUCUGCCUUGCACUCUGGGAUAAGCUUGGGAAACUGGGUCUAAUACCGGAUAUGAACUGCCUUUAGUGUGGUGGUUGGAAAGUUUUUUCGGUGCAAGAUGAGCUCGCGGCCUAUCAGCUUGUUGGUGGGGUAAUGGCCUACCAAGGCGUCGACGGGUAGCCGGCCUGAGAGGGUGUACGGCCACAUUGGGACUGAGAUACGGCCCAGACUCCGACGGGAGGCAGCAGUGGGGAAGAUUGCAGGAUGGGCGGAAGCCUGAUGCAGCGACGCCGCGUGGGGGAUGACGGCCUUCGGGUUGUAAACUCAUUUCGACAGGGACGAAGCUUUUUGUGACGGUACCUGUAGAAGAAGCACCGGCUAACUACGUG